GACGAACGCUGGCGGCGUGCUUAACACAUGCAAGUCGAACGCAGUUGCGAACGGGUGAGUAACGCGUAGGUAACUGCCUGGUAGCGGGGGAUAACUAUUGGAAACGAUAGCUAAUACCGCAUACUACCAGAUGGACCUGCGUUGUAUUAGCUAGUUGGUGGGGUAACGGCCUACCAAGGCGACGAUCCGUAACUGGUCUGAGAGGAUGAUCGGCCACACUGGAACUGAGACACGGCCCAGACUCCUACGGGAGGCAGCAGUAGGGAAUCUUCGGCAAUGGACGGAAGUCUGACCGAGCAACGCCGCGUGAGUGAAGAAGGUUUUCGGAUCGUAAAACUCUGUUGUUAGAGAAGCGGUAUCUAACCAGAAAGCCACGGCUAACUACGUGCCAGCAGCCGCGGUAAUAC
rnacentral:rRNA from 1 species